rnacentral:lncRNA from 1 species
AACAGACCAGCAUAUUAAAAAAGCAACUCUGACAAGAGAACGAUUUCCUUCUUUGGUCCAAGACAACUUCACUGGUGAGCCAGACAGACUGUGCUGGACAUGCAGCUCAUCCUAUGGAUGUGGGAGCAUUUCACCUGCAUCUGAGAGAGAAGAAAUACAUGAAGAACAGGAGGCUGAUAGAAAGGGAAUGGGGAGGGAGUGCAGUCCAUCCCUGAGUGGCAGCCAGGACCUCACAGCUGGCACUGGGGAACUGCUGUCUGCAGUCCAUGCCCUCCCUUUCCACUGAGCUCUGCUGGCCUGGCCACAGGCUCAAAACUGAAUGAUAGGGUGCAGAGGGAAGAGCCAAGAGGAGCUCUCUCCAUCUGCUGAGAAAGCAGGUCUGCCUUCAGCUGCUUGUGCAGGUGCUUGGAGCACUGUGACUGGUUGCAAGUUUGGGCAGCUGUCCUAGCCACACACUGUGCUGUGCUUAUUCAUGGACUGUGCUUGCAGGACCAUGAGGUUUUCUGUCAUUAACUCCUUGGUGAAAACAGGCUUUGUGAAAUAGCUGGGAGGUGAAAGCACAGAACUUGCCUAUUAGCUAUAUCUUUGAUUUAUCCCAAAACUUUCUUCCUCAAGUUCAGUAGGUGGAGGUGUGGAGGAAGAAUGAAGCAAGGAGGGAAGCAGAAUGCCAGUCAUAAGAGGCCUGGAGCAUGCAGGCAAUCCAAGUCCUGCUGCCCUGGGAAUGCUCUGUAAUGCCUGCAUGCCAGGCAAGAGGGAGUGACUUCAAAGAACGUCUUUAUUAGGGUACACUGCUUAGCAUGAAAGAAAUGUCAGGGCUGCUCUACACUGACUCUCUGCCUGCGGCACUAAACUAGCCUGUCAUUCAGCAGUCUGAGUACAAACCACAACUGCUGACAGAGUCCUGGAAAAAUUUAUUUUUUCACAUCUAAUUGCCCUUUUUGCUUUGUAAACAUAAAGGUUGAAGCUUAAACACUGACAGCUCCAGUAGCCUUUUGCUUAACUCCUUAAAAAAACGACAUCCAGCAUGUUAAAUUUUGCUUUUACUGCAGCUGAAAUCUCACAAAAUCUGCGCAAGUUUUUUUAAAGAUCAUUGAUGCAUUUCAGUACUCACUUUGGGAAAAACCCUUCAGCUCACAAAAAGACAAAAGGUAGUGCCUGAAGAGCCAAGACCUUUCCCCACAGCAAUUCAGGAUAAAAAUGUUUGACCAAAAGAGGCAGAGCAAGCAAUCAGCAUUCCAUCUUUCCCUGGGAGCAGAUUAAAGAACGCAUAUCUGCUCUUGUUGUUG